rnacentral:rRNA from 1 species
AGUGAACGCUGGCGGCGUGCUUAAUACAUGCAAGUCGAACGAUGAAGCCUCUAGCUUUCUCGCAGUGGUUUAUUAGCCCACGGAUGAUUAAUAUAUAGUCAAUCUGCCUUUCACUAAUGAACAACAAUUGCAAACGAUUUCUAAUACCCCAUACUUUAACUUAACAUGAUGUGAGUUCGUAAAGUCUUUUCGGUGGAAGAUGAAACUAUAACGUAUCAGCUAGUUGGUAAGGUAAUUGCUUACCAAGGCUAUGACGCGUAACUGGGCUGAGAGGAUGAUCAGGCAAAUUGGGAAUGAGACACGGUCCAAACUCCUACGGGAGGGAGGAGUAAGGAAUAAUGUGAAAAGGGAGAAACGCUGAAGCAGCAACGGCGGGGGGAGGGUGAAAGUUUUCAGAGUGUAAAAGCCUUUUGAUAAGGGAGGAUAAUGACGGUACCUAACGAAUAAGCUCCGGCUAACUCCGUG